CGUACUUUUUGUAGAACGGGCCAACGAGUUACGUUAAGUAGCAAGGUUAAGCACUUAAGGUGCGGAGCCGUAGCGAAAGCGAGUUUUAACUGAGCGUUCAGUUACUUGACGUAGACCCGAAACCGGGCGACCUACCCAUGAGCAGGAUGAAGCGAAAGUAAAAUUUCGUGGAGGUCCGAACCCACGAGCGUUGAAAAGCUCGGGGAUGACUUGUGGGUAGCGGUGAAAUUCCAAUCGAGCCCGGAGAUAGCUGGUUCUCCCCGAAAUAGCUUUAGGGCUAGCCUCAAGGUGAGAGAUACGGAGGUAGAGCACUGAAUGUCCUAGGGGGUAUUGCACCUACCGAAGACUAUCAAACUCCGAAUGCCGUCAUCUUAUACUUGGGAGUCAGACUGUGGGUGAUAAGAUUCAUAGUCGAAAGGGCAACAGCCCAGAUCGUCAGCUAAGGUCCCUAAAUGUAAGUUAAGUGGUAAAGGAUGUGGGAUUGCACAGACAACCAGGAUGUUGGCUUAGAAGCAGCCACUCAUUCAAAGAGUGCGUAAUAGCUCACUGGUCGAGUGAUCCUGCGCCGAAGAUUUCCGGGGCUAAAACUUACUACCGAAGCUACGGCAUCAGUAAUGAUGGGUAGGGGAGCUUCCCAUACGGGUUGAAGCAUGACCGUAAGGACAUGUGGACAGUAUGGGAGUGAGAAUGUUGGCAUGAGUAGCGAGAUGUGGGUGAGAAUCCCACAGGCCGUAAACCCAAGGUUUCCAGGGGAAGGUUCGUCCGCCCUGGGUUAGUCGGGACCUAAGCUGAGGCCGAAAGGCGUAGGUGAUGGACAACAGGUUGAUAUUCCUGUACUACCGAUAACCGUUUGAGAGAAGGGAUGACACAGUAGGAUAAGCUAAGCACACUGUUGGUUAUGUGUGCCCAAGCAUUGAGGCAGUCAAAGUAGGCAAAUCCGCUUUGAUAAUGCUGGGAUGUGAUGGGGAGCGAAAUUUAGUAGCGAAGUAGCUGAUUUCACACUGUCAAGAAAAGUCUCUAUCGAGGUUAAAGGUACCCGUACCGCAAACCGACACAGGUGGGUGAGGAGAGUAUCCUAAGGCCAGCGAGAGAACUGUUGUUAAGGAACUCGGCAAAAUGACCCCGUAACUUAGGGAUAAGGGGUGCCACCAUCAGGUGGCCGCAGAGAAUAGGCCCAAGCGACUGUUUACCAAAAACAUAGGUUUCUGCUAAGUCGCAAGACGAUGUAUAGGAGCUGACGCCUGCCCGGUGCUGGAAGGUUAAGGGGAUCUGUUAGAGCAAUCGAAGCAGUGAACUUAAGCCCCAGUAAACGGCGGCCGUAACUAUAACGGUCCUAAGGUAGCGAAAUUCCUUGUCGGGUAAGUUCCGACCCGCACGAAAGGCGUAACGAUUUGGGCACUGUCUCAACAACAGACUCGGUGAAAUUGUAAUUCCGGUGAAGAUGCCGGAUACCUGCGACAGGACGGAAAGACCCCAUGGAGCUUUACUGUAGCUUGACAUUGGGUCUUGGUACUACAUGUACAGGAUAGGUGGGAGGCUUUGAAACCAGGACGCCAGUUUUGGCGGAGCCAUCCUUGGGAUACCACCCUUGUAGUACUGGGACUCUAACCAUAGGCCAUGAAUCUGGUCUUGGGACACUGUCAGGUGGGCAGUUUGACUGGGGCGGUCGCCUCCCAAAAGGUAACGGAGGCGCUCAAAGGUUCUCUCAGUACGGUCGGAAAUCGUACGUAGAGUGUAAAGGCAAAAGAGAGCUUGAUUGCAAGACAUACAGGUCGAGCAAGGAUGAAAAUCGGACUUAGUGAUCCGGUGGUUCUGCGUGGAAGGGCCAUCGCUCAACGGAUAAAAGCUACCCUGGGGAUAACAGGCUUAUCUCCCCCAAGAGUCCACAUCGACGGGGAGGUUUGGCACCUCGAUGUCGGCUCAUCACAUCCUGGGGCUGUAGUAGGUCCCAAGGGUUGGGCUGUUCGCCCAUUAAAGUGGUACGCGAGCUGGGUUCAGAACGUCGUGAGACAGUUCGGUCCCUAUCCGUCGCAGGCGUAGGAAAUUUGAGAAGACCUGUCCUUAGUACGAGAGGACCGGGAUGGACGUACCUCUGGUGUACCAGUUGUUCUGCCAAGGGCAUGGCUGGGUAGCUAUGUACGGAAUGGAUAAGCGCUGAAAGCAUCUAAGCGCGAAGCCAACUUCAAGAUAAGAUUUCCCACCG
rnacentral:rRNA from 1 species